UACAGAGGUGGCAAGCGUUGUUCGGAAUUACUGGGCGUAAAGGGCGCGUAGGCGGCUUGGUCAGUCCCGUGUGAAAUCCCUCGGCUCAACUGAGGAACUGCACGGGAAACUGCCUGGCUUGAGUUCGGGAGAGGGAAGCGGAAUUCCGGGUGUAGCGGUGAAAUGCGUAGAUAUCAGGAGGAACACCAAUUGCGAAGGCAGCUCGCUGGGACGUAACUGACGCUGAGACGCGAAAGCGUGGGGAGCAAACAGG
rnacentral:rRNA from 1 species